CACCCGAUCCCAUUCCGAACUCGGCCGUGAAACCCGACUGCGCCAAUGGUACUAUCGCUCAAGCGAUGGAAGAGUAGGUCGUCGCCAGGC
rnacentral:rRNA from 1 species